rnacentral:rRNA from 1 species
CUGAAUAGGGCGUUUAGUAUUUGGUCGUAGACCCGAAACCAGGUGAUCUACCCUUGGUCAGGUUGAAGUUCAGGUAACACUGAAUGGAGGACCGAACCGACUUACGUUGAAAAGUGAGCGGAUGAACUGAGGGUAGCGGAGAAAUUCCAAUCGAACCUGGAGAUAGCUGGUUCUCUCCGAAAUAGCUUUAGGGCUAGCCUCAAGUGAUGAUUAUUGGAGGUAGAGCACUGUUUGGACGAGGGGCCCCUCUCGGGUUACCGAAUUCAGACAAACUCCGAAUGCCAAUUAAUUUAACUUGGGAGUCAGAACAUGGGUGAUAAGGUCCGUGUUCGAAAGGGAAACAGCCCAGACCACCAGCUAAGGUCCCAAAAUAUAUGUUAAGUGGAAAAGGAUGUGGCGUUGCCCAGACAACUAGGAUGUUGGCUUAGAAGCAGCCAUCAUUUAAAGAGUGCGUAAUAGCUCACUAGUCGAGUGACACUGCGCCGAAAAUGUACCGGGGCUAAACAUAUUACCGAAGCUGUGGAUUGUCCUUUGGACAAUGGUAGGAGAGCGUUCUAAGGGCGUUGAAGCAUGAUCGUAAGGACAUGUGGAGCGCUUAGAAGUGAGAAUGCCGGUGUGAGUAGCGAAAGACGGG